AUUGAACGCUGGCGGCAUGCCUUACACAUGCAAGUCGAACGGUAACGGGCCUUCGGGUGCCGACGAGUGGCGAACGGGUGAGUAAUGUAUCGGAACGUACCUUUCAGUGGGGGAUAACGUAGCGAAAGUUACGCUAAUACCGCAUAUUCUGUGAGCAGGAAAGCAGGGGAUCGCAAGACCUUGCGCUGAUUGAGCGGCCGAUAUCAGAUUAGCUAGUUGGUGAGGUAAAGGCUCACCAAGGCGACGAUCUGUAGCGGGUCUGAGAGGAUGAUCCGCCACACUGGAACUGAGACACGGUCCAGACUCCUACGGGAGGCAGCAGUGGGGAAUUUUGGACAAUGGGGGCAACCCUGAUCCAGCCAUGCCGCGUGAGUGAAGAAGGCCUUCGGGUUGUAAAGCUCUUUCGGCCGGGAAGAAAUCGUAUGGGUUAAUACCCUGUGCGGAUGACGGUACCGGCAUAAGAAGCACCGGCUAACUACGUGCCAGCAGCCGCAGUAAGAC
rnacentral:rRNA from 1 species